UGGGGAAUUUUGGACAAUGGGCGAAAGCCUGAUCCAGCAAUGCCGCGUGUGUGAAGAAGGCCUUCGGGUUGUAAAGCACUUUUGCCCGGAAAGAAAUCCUUGGCUCUAAUACAGUCGGGGGAUGACGGUACCGGAAGAAUAAGCACCGGCUAACUACGUGCCAGCAGCCGCGGUAAUACGUAGGGUGCAAGCGUUAAUCGGAAUUACUGGGCGUAAAGCGUGCGCAGGCGGUUUGCUAAGACCGAUGUGAAAUCCCCGGGCUCAACCUGGGAACUGCAUUGGUGACUGGCAGGCUAGAGUAUGGCAGAGGGGGGUAGAAUUCCACGUGUAGCAGUGAAAUGCGUAGAGAUGUGGAGGAAUACCGAUGGCGAAGGCAGCCCCCUGGGCCAAUACUGACGCUCAUGCACGAAAGCGUGGGGAGCAAACAGGAUUAGAUACCCUGGUAGUCCACGCCCUAAACGAUGUCAACUAGUUGUUGGGGAUUCAUUUCCUUAGUAACGUAGCUAACGCGUGAAGUUGACCGCCUGGGGAGUACGGUCGCAAGAUUAAAACUC
rnacentral:rRNA from 1 species